UACUGGAGUUGAUUAUGAACUUUUGUGUUGGUGUAGAAUACAUGAACUUUCGUGCUACAUGCAAACGUUGUCAUCUAGCAGCUCCUCAAAUACAAUGGCGCCACCAAACAGAAUUAGGGAGAUUGCAGAAUUAUUCACUAGCUUCACCUUGGCUGAUGGUUGUAGACCAAAUUCGAGGUUUGGUUGGUUGUUGUUCAAAACCAGUGAUUGUUGCCCAGUGUUUUUUAACCCCUUCAUAAAUGAUCUCCGCAAACUUCCAGACACGAACUAUAUGGUAGAGAACUUUUGGUUCUCAGCUCCGCCUACUUCCCCUGAUUGUAUGGUUGUUGGAUUUUAUCCUACGAGAUUUGGGAUCCAUUAUGUAUCUAGAGAACCAACCUGGGAUUGGUAUGAGGUGAAACCAUAUCAACAAACGUCCCCUGUUUGUUUUCCAACAUUUCAUGAUGGACAUUUUUAUUUACUUGUAUGAGACGGGGGGACUAAAGCUUUUUAAACAUUGGGGUGAAGAUGAUAUCUCUUUUGAAGUUUUUGUAUCCGAAGCCCCAAGACAUUGUAGCGGAUCUCCAGCACAAUAUUUUUUGGUGAAAUGUGUCCAACAUCUUCUACUCGUUAUGGGCAGGUUUGGAGAACCCAUUGAGGUGUUCAUGUUGAAUGGUUCUAAUAGAGAAUGGGAUAAAGUAAACGGUGUAGGAAAGCACUUGAUUUAUAUUUGUGAUACAACAUGUUUGUGUAUUGAAGCCAAAACACCAGAAAUGGCGAACAAGGUCUACCUUGCACAAUUGAGUUCUACAAACAAAAAGGUAGUGUUUUAUUCACUCAAAACAAGCACAUAUCACACGUUCGAUGGUAAAAGCGUCCAAGAAAAUUUAGGGGAUGUUUUCUUGACUACACAUCUUUCUGCUCAUACUUGGAUUGAACCAAGUUGGUUGGAUUCACUUGUUGAAGAGCCCAUAAGUCUAGACCAGUGGACUAAGCUAGCCGACUUCAUUCUUCAUUGUUAUUUUUAUGUUUAAACACGUUGCUUCUUUCUAAUCUUUCACUUUUGGAUUAAUUAUAUAUAUCUGUUCUGUAUCCUUAAGAAAGGAAGAUUUUAAGCAGCA